UACGGAAGGCAGCAGUGGGGAAUAUUGCACAAUGGGCGCAAGCCUGAUGCAGCCAUGCCGCGUGUAUGAAGAAGGCCUUCGGGUUGUAAAGUACUUUCAGUCGUGAGGAAGGUGUUAAGGUUAAUAACCUUAGCAAUUGACGUUAGCGACAGAAGAAGCACCGGCUAACUCCGUGCCAGCAGCCGCGGUAAUACGGAGGGUGCGAGCGUUAAUCGGAAUUACUGGGCGUAAAGGGCACGCAGGCGGUUAAUUAAGUUGGAUGUGAAAUCCCCGGGCUUAACCUGGGAAUGGCAUUCAAGACUGGUUAGCUAGAGUCUUGUAGAGGGGGUAGAAUUCCGAUGUGUAGCGGUGAAAUGCGUAGAGAUGUGGAGGAAUACCGGUGGCGAAGGCGGCCCCUGGGACAAAGACUGACGCUCAUGUGCGAAAGCGUGGGGAGCAAACAGGGAUUAGAUACCCUA
rnacentral:rRNA from 1 species